GGGCUCGCUUCGACAGUACAGAUACUAAAUUUGGAAUGAUGCAGAGAUUAGCAUGGCUCCUGUGCAGAUAUGAUAUGCAGAUUUGUGAAAUGUUCCAUAUUUUU
ensembl:snRNA U6 U6 spliceosomal RNA